CAGGUUGGACAAGUUUGGUUUAAGUUUCCUUUCAUUGACCCAAACUUCUAGGCCUUUGUAUCUAGAGAAACCCAAGCCUACCUUCACCUGGGGAGUGGUGAUCUGAUUACCCUCCUGCAACAUCAGUAAAACUAUGGGUACUCCAGCAGCAAGAAUGUUGUGUCCCCAGCGCAAGUGGGAUGGAGAAAAGAGCCUGCUGCGAGGCUGCGUUGGUGUGUGGUCCACUGACAGACACUGGGAAGAUACCUUCUUCAUGUUUCGAGACAAGGUGGCCACAUGUGACCUCAGAGAUGGCAUUUUCAAUAGUGGAAUGUGAGGUACUGUGCUGGGGUAAAGAUGGAAUGACUUACCUGCUA